rnacentral:rRNA from 1 species
CCGUAACUAUAACGGUCCUAAGGUAGCGAAAUUCCUUGUCGGGUAAGUUCCGACCUGCACGAAUGGCGUAAUGAUGGCCAGGCUGUCUCCACCCGAGACUCAGUGAAAUUGAACUCGCUGUGAAGAUGCAGUGUACCCGCGGCAAGACGGAAAGACCCCGUGAACCUUUACUAUAGCUUGACACUGAACACUGGUCCUUGAUGUGUAGGAUAGGUGGGAGGCUUUGAAGUGUGGACGCCAGUCUGCAUGGAGCCAUCCUUGAAAUACCACCCUUUAAUGGCUGGUGUUCUAACGUGGGCCCGUGAUCCGGGUUGCGGACAGUGUCUGGUGGGUAGUUUGACUGGGGCGGUCUCCUCCUAAAGAGUAACGGAGGAGCACGAAGGUCAGCUAAUCCUGGUCGGACAUCAGGAGGUUAGUGCAAUGGCAUAAGCUGGCUUGACUGCGAGCGUGACGGCGCGAGCAGGUGCGAAAGCAGGUCAUAGUGAUCCGGUGGUUCUGAAUGGAAGGGCCAUCGCUCAACGGAUAAAAGGUACUCCGGGGAUAACAGGCUGAUACCGCCCAAGAGUUCAUAUCGACGGCGGUGUUUGGCACCUCGAUGUCGGCUCAUCACAUCCUGGGGCUGAAGUAGGUCCCAAGGGUAUGGCUGUUCGCCAUUUAAAGUGGUACGCGAGCUGGGUUUAGAACGUCGUGAGACAGUUCGGUCCCUAUCUGCCGUGGGCGCUGGAGAAUUGAGGGGGGCUGCUCCUAGUACGAGAGGACCGGAGUGGACGCAUCACUGGUGUUCGGGUUGUCAUGCCAAUGGCAUUGCCCGGUAGCUAAAUGCGGAAGAGAUAAGUGCUGAAAGCAUCUAAGCACGAAACUUGCCCCGAGAUGAGUUCUCCCUGACUCCUUGAGAGUCCUGAAGGAACGUUGAAGACGACGACGUUGAUAGGCCGGGUGUGUAAGCGCAGCGAUGCGUUGAGCUAACCGGUACUAAUGAACCGUGAGGCUUAACCUU